CUAUAUCCUACAAAUGGCUAGAAUUCGCAUGUCAUUGUUAGCUAUAGGCUAAUAGGCUACAGAUCAAACUUUGGUUACACUUUUCAUUCUGGUACACAUUGACUAUACGGUCAAAGAUCUUACUGCAUGUCAACAUUACUUCAAGUCAAAAGUUGUAUAUAUAUGUUGGUCACUUCCAAACAAUUCCAUGGACAUAGUCAUCAAUUCCCUGGUCACAUUAUUGGAGAUAUUGCCAUAUGAUACGCGCAAUUUUUUCACAACAAUUUGCAACGUAGUGAAAAUUGUCUCGUGUAAUAAUGUGCCAUUAAUAUUUUCUGCUUGAGGUCCGGUGCAAGCCUUAAGCCCGGCGCACACUAGAGCUAUGUGCUUAGCAAAAUGUCAUUCGUGACUGUUGGCGUAAGGAGAUAGCUCUCGUGUGCGGGCGAUUUACGAACGACUUUUGUCAUUCGUGCC
rnacentral:lncRNA from 1 species